rnacentral:rRNA from 1 species
CGACUCUCGGCAACGGAUAUCUCGGCUCUCGCAUCGAUGAAGAACGUAGCGAAAUGCGAUACUUGGUGUGAAUUGCAGAAUCCCGUGGACCAUCGAGUCUUUGAACGCAAGUUGCGCCCCAAGCCAUUAGGCCGAGGGCACGCCUGCCUGGGUGUCACG